UACGUAGGGGGCAAGCGUUGUCCGGAAUUACUGGGCGUAAAGGGCGCGUAGGCGGCCUUCUAAGUCGAACGUGAAAUCCCCGGGCUCAACCCGGGAACUGCGUCCGAUACUGGGAGGCUUGAAUCCGGGAGAGGGAUGUGGAAUUCCAGGUGUAGCGGUGAAAUGCGUAGAUAUCUGGAGGAACACCGGUGGCGAAGGCGGCAUCCUGGACCGGUAUUGACGCUGAGGCGCGAAAGCCAGGGGAGCAAACGGG
rnacentral:rRNA from 1 species